rnacentral:rRNA from 1 species
UACGAAGGGGGCUAGCGUUGUUCGGAAUCACUGGGCGUAAAGCGCACGUAGGCGGCUCUUUAAGUCAGGGGUGAAAUCCCAGAGCUCAACUCUGGAACUGCCUUUGAUACUGGGGAUCUCGAGUUCGGGAGAGGUGAGUGGAACUGCGAGUGUAGAGGUGAAAUUCGUAGAUAUUCGCAAGAACACCGGUGGCGAAGGCGGCUCACUGGCCCGAUACUGACGCUGAGGUGCGAAAGCGUGGGGAGCAAACAGG